ACCUGAAUGGAAUGAACUGGAUACAGGUUAAGGAAUUACUUGCAUGAACCUUUAAGUCUCUCAACGCAAGUAUAUAUGAGAAACUUGAUUGGUUGGUGAGCUGUUGACCUCAGAGGCUACAUCUUCACAUCUGAAUGAUGAAGGGCUGGGCCUCAUUAUCCCGAGUCACUCCAAGAACAGAUGACUCAACUGAGGGGCUCCCUCCCCGUGGCGGAGAAGGCUGCUGUCUAGUUGAGUUGCUUCUGUAGCGGGAACAGUCAGUGUCAUUAAUUUUCCGCUGUGCUGUGUGGGCUGUGGAACAGGAAACCGACUUGAUGGAUCACAGUGCCGCUUGGGAACGGGCGCCUUCAGAGCAGACUCUUCAGCUUCCAGUGCAAAUCCUUCAGCCUUCCAGUGUAGACUCUUCAGCUUUCUAUGGAAGACCCAUUAGCCUUCAGAUAUGGACUCAUGUGGAACACUGCAGUGAGCUCCGGACCUCGGACUGAAUCCUUCAGCCUCCAGUUACAGACAUCCUCUGCACUCUUUCUCAUCUGACUUUGUGGGUGGCCACUGAAAGCCAAUCUUGUAAACUCCUAUGCAUUUAUAGAUCUUGUGUUACAUUUGUUUCUCUAGUAAAACACUGAUGAUGAUGUGCUGCUGGUUUUAAGGUGGAUAAAAACACUACAAGCAAAAGGUGGAGAUGGCUUUUAGAAGCUGGAAAGGGAUCAUAGCAUCAUAAGAAUUUAAAUGUGUGUUGUUUCAAGCCACUAAGCAUGCAAUCAUUUGAUAUGGCAGUAACGGGAAAUGAAUGCACCGGGUUUGUGCGCACUUCUUCUCAGGCUGUUUAUGCCAUGCAACUCCCUGCUAUUUCCUUCUCCCCAUGCCAGCUAGUGCCAGGAGGACUAUUUAUCUUGUUAAUCCCUUGGAAUGUUACAUAGUAAAAUAGUAAUAGGCACUUACUUAAAUUCCUGUUCCUUAGUGCCAUGGCUCUUGGCUUCCUAGUAAAUGUGGUUAUUUCCACACAUGAAGAUGACUCUACUGAGUCCAUUAGUUGUCUGCUCUCAUCACCUUGAACUUGGAUUAUUGUAGCAACCAACCUGAUCUGUAUUCUCCACAGUGUACUAAAACAAUGCUGCCUGUGUCUUACCCUCUAACUAGAGAAAACUUAUCUAAGUACACCAUCUUAUCAUGACAGUUCCUGAUCAAGGAUCAGUGUGGACCCUCCAUUUCCUAACAAUUGAACUCUUAAUUAUUCUUUUUAACCUUCAUAAUUGAAUCCAAUGUUAGUGGCCCCAUCUGAGCUUGAACAUUCUAUUUGAUUGUUGCCCUCUUUUUUGUCUCCCAUGCAAUGCCAAAUCUGUGUUCAUUCUGGAGUCACCUCCCCUCAUCUUUUAUCCUUGUUUGCUUGCCUCUUUCCCCACUUUUCUCCCUUCCUAUAUUCCUCCCCUCCCCCUCCCAUCCUCAUUCUGCAAAUUUAAAACAUAUAGUCUAAGUUGCCAAACAUUCUCAACCCUUCUGACUUCUGGUGAUUGUUUUUAUCUGACCACUGGAUUGUGGAUGAUAUUGACUAGGUGGUUUGUGUGGAUUGAAGGCUGUAUUCCUAUAGUCCCUGCUGCCUGUGGUUUAGGGUAAAGCACAUGAUAAUAAUGCAAAAUGGAUUUAUACUUAGUUAACCACAUUAUCUCCUGCCAUCUAAACGCCUCCCUCACUAAUGCGCAACUGAUGCCACAAGUUCUCCAGCAAGCAGGUUGUGGCUGGGAGCAGUAAGUUCAGAAGCUACUAAUGAGAUCAGAUAGGAAACCUGGGCACAAUCAGUUCUAUCUGACUGUGUAAACCAUCUCUGAAGUGCUUGGAAAAUACUGAAAUCAUAUCUAGCUACUUCAUCGAUUGAAUAGUAUUUUUAGAACCUUUCCAUAGCCUUCUCUAUUUAGAACCUCUAAGUAUGUUAUUGUCUGAAACAUUCAGUAUUUUCUUAAACAUAUAAUCUGGAUAUCAGAUACAAAAUGCCCAGCUUGUUGGGGGGAGUCAACUGUCUUUGAUGUUUAAGUAAAGGUUGGUGUAAGUUCUUAUUUUAGUAGGAAAGUUUGCAUAUCUUCUUUAUUUUGGGUCAUGACUUUUCAUUUUGUUUUGGUAAAAGCUGGCCAUGAAUUUCUUUUUGGCUCUAUUUUUGACUACCAGCCUGCACUUUACUUUUUUGGAUGCGAUCUCUUAUCCUGCACAAUGAUAGUUUGCUGAAUUUGCCCUUAUCCAAUGUCUUUUCUCCUCAAAAUGUCACCAAUUUAGGACAUGAUGUGUUGUAGACUUUACCAAAGAUUUGGAGCUUGAUAGUGGAUUGAUCUGAGGAUUAGAGGGUUUGUAUUCACUGCUUUUAUGAGAAGUAUAUUAGACAUAGCUGUCCUGCACUUCAGACAGAUUUCUCUUAAAACUUAUUGGCCACUCCUUCUACUUAGAUAAUAGACUUCUGCCAUGCAAGGGUGUAUACUCUCACCUUAGCUCUGCUCACCUUGUAGAAUAUGAUUCCCAUCUAUUUGGAAAGUGGAGAUCUCUAAAUAUUCUAUUGUCUUGUAUUAGAUGAUUCAAGUCAAGCCUUCAAGUCAAGGUGUUUAAGUUUAUGAUCAAACAUGUUCAUUUAGGUAUGUUCCUGAACAAAGAUGUUUCUUCUUAAAAAGAUUAGUAUUGCAAUAAGUUUUUGUCUUCUACUAUGAGUGGAGAACAUAAAUCAUGAGAACUAUGAAUUACUCAUGAGAACUAUGAAAUAUUUUCAUUCCAUGUAUUUGUAUUUUGGGAUUAGGGAUGAUUACUAUUUUCUUUUUUUAGGACUUGAAAAAUGGUCAAGUAUUUUAAUAAUGGUAAUGUACUACUUUGCAAUACAUUGUAUAUACAACAUGCCAUACAUUGUAUGUAAAGGUAUAGACAAUACACUGACAAAAUAAAAUAUAACACAUUGAUAAUACAAAUAAAAAGGCAAUUAUUAAAAUUGAUCAAUACAUAGGGAGUAGUUAUUUAUAUUUUGAAAUGUUCUGUUAAUUUUAGUUUCUGAAAUAAGCUAAAUUUUUAGUGAGUUUUUUAAAAAUAAGGAACUAAUGCAGCGUGGCUGUCUAAUAAAUGUGGAAAAAUGUCGAUUUGAUUCACUCCCUCGGCUGACAUAUUGGGACUACUUCAAGACAUUAAACCAUUUUAUGGGGAAACUUGAUGGGAACAAGUUACUGCCCCAUUAUCAGUGUGAGACAUAAAAUACAAUACACUUAAGUUGGGCCCGUGGGCAUAAUGCCUGCAGAGCAAGAAUAACUUUGAAGAGAAGGAACUGAAGAGAUCAAAACAGACAGCAAAAGUAUUGAAGAUACAUAAAUAUUAAAGAAAGGUCUGAUGAGACAUAGCAAGACAAUGACGAUGGGACACUGGCCUUUCUGGCCCCAAUUUUUUUCUACUUCUCCCCUUUUGUUAUCACUCUGCUAAAUCAACAAUUCAGUUUGGACCAGCUGCUCUCGUGAGAAAGCUUUAAAUAAGGAUGUAGAAAUAACUGAGACAAAUGAUGAAGUCAUCUUUUACUGCAAUAUAUUUUCACAAUGCCUAACAGUCCCCCAUUUAAUCAAGAGAUUGGCAGGACAGGGAACAAGUUGGUAAUUUGCAGUUGGGAUGUAAUAAAAAUGUUGUAAUUCAUGGAUGAGACACACAGACUACAUUAUGUAUUAUGAGUUUAACUUGACUUAUAACUCUUUCUAGAAUUUAAACUGUCAUAUUUGAUCAUAUGCAUUGACUUUUAUAGUGAUUUAAUGAGUUGUUUGGUGAAAAUAAAUGUUUUCAAAGUUACAAAA